rnacentral:rRNA from 1 species
UACGUAGGGACCAAGCGUUGUUCGGAUUUACUGGGCGUAAAGGGCGCGUAGGCGGCGUGUUAAGUCAGUUGUGAAAUCUCCAAGCUUAACUUGGAACGGUCAACUGAUACUGAUGUGCUAGAGUGCAGAAGGGGCAACCGGAAUUCUUGGUGUAGCGGUGAAAUGCGUAGAUAUCAAGAGGAACACCUGAGGUGAAGGCGGCUCACUGGCCCGGUACUGACGCUGAUGUGCGAAAGCGUGGGGAGCAAACAGG